rnacentral:rRNA from 1 species
AUUGAACGCUGGCGGCAUGCCUUACACAUGCAAGUCGAACGGUAACGCGGGGCAACCUGGCGACGAGUGGCGAACGGGUGAGUAAUGCAUCGGAACGUGCCCAGUAGUGGGGGAUAGCCCGGCGAAAGCCGGAUUAAUACCGCAUACGACCUACGGGUGAAAGGGGGGGAUCGCAAGACCUCUCGCUAUUGGAGCGGCCGAUGUCAGAUUAGGUAGUUGGUGGGGUGAAGGCCUACCAAGCCAACGAUCUGUAGCUGGUCUGAGAGGACGACCAGCCACACUGGGACUGAGACACGGCCCAGACUCCUACGGGAGGCUGCAGUGGGGAAUUUUGGACAGUGGGCGCAAGCCUGAUCCAGCCAUGCCGCGUGCGGGAAGAAGGCCUUCGGGUUGUAAACCGCUUUUGUCAGGGAAGAAACGCUCCGAGAUAAUACCUCGGGGUAAUGACGGUACCUGAAGAAUAAGCACCGGCUAACUACGUGCCAGCCGCCGCAGUAA